rnacentral:rRNA from 1 species
UUCAGCAGCCCCGGGUAAUUCCAGCUCCAAUAGCGUAUAUUAAAGUUGUUGCAGUUAAAAAGCUCGUAGUUGAACCUUGGGUCUGGCUGGCCGGUCCGCCUCACCGCGAGUACUGGUCCGGCUGGACCUUUCCUUCUGGGGAACCUCAUGGCCUUCACUGGCUGUGGGGGGAACCAGGACUUUUACUGUGAAAAAAUUAGAGUGUUCAAAGCAGGCCUUUGCUCGAAUACAUUAGCAUGGAAUAAUAGAAUAGGACGUGCGGUUCUAUUUUGUUGGUUUCUAGGACCGCCGUAAUGAUUAAUAGGGAUAGUCGGGGGCGUCAGUAUUCAGCUGUCAGAGGUGAAAUUCUUGGAUUUGCUGAAGACUAACUACUGCGAAAGCAUUCGCCAAGGAUGUUUUCAUUAAUCAGGGAACGAAAGUUAGGGGAUCGAAGACGAUCAGAUACCGUCGUAGUCUUAACCAUAAACUAUGCCGACUAGGGAUCGGACGGGAUUCUAUGAUGACCCGUUCGGCACCUUACGAGAAAUCAAAGUUUUUGGGUUCUGGGGGGAGUAUGGUCGCAAGGCUGAAACUUAAAGAAAUUGACGGAAGGGCACCACAAGGCGUGGAGCCUGCGGCUUAAUUUGACUCAAACACGGGAAA